rnacentral:rRNA from 1 species
GACGAACGCUGGCGGCGUGCUUAACACAUGCAAGUCGAACGGAAAGGCCCUGCUUUUGUUGGGUGCUCGAGUGGCGAACGGGUGAGUAACACGUGAGUAACCUGCCCUUGACUUUGGGAUAACUUCAGGAAACUGGGGCUAAUACCGGAUAGGAGCUCCUGCUGCAUGGUGGUGGUUGGAAAGUUUCGGCGGUUGGGGAUGGACUCGCGGCUUAUCAGCUUGUUGGUGGGGUAGUGGCUUACCAAGGCUUUGACGGGUAGCCGGCCUGAGAGGGUGACCGGCCACAUUGGGACUGAGAUAGGGCCCAGACUCCUACGGGCGGCAGUAGUGGGGAAUAUUGCACAAUGGGCGGAAGCCUGAUGCAGCAACGCCGCGUGCGGGAUGACCGCCUUCGGGUUGUAAACCGCUUUCGCCUGUGACGAAGAGUGAGUGACGGUAAUGGGUAAAGAAGCACCGGCUAACUACGUG